CUUGUUUCCAGGGUUAGUGGUAUGGUAUAGUAACUCACUGUCUGAGGAGCUGAUGACCUUGUUUCCAGGGUUAGUGGUAUGGUAUAUUAACUCACUGUCUGAGGAGCUGAUGACCUUGUUUCCAGGGUUAGUGGUAUGGUAUAGUAUAGUAACUCACUGUCUGAGGAGCUGAUGACCUUGUUUCCAGGGUUAGUG